rnacentral:rRNA from 1 species
CAGUAGCGUAUAUUAAAGUUGUUGCAGUUAAAAAGCUCGUAGUUGAAUUUUGGGUGUGGGGGUGCGGUGUUCUCGAAAGGGGACGACUGUGUGCUCUGUGCCUUGUUUGUAGGGAAUGCGUGUGUGCUUUAUUGUGUGCGCGUUGGAACUACAGGUUUACUUUGAAAAAAUUAGAGUGUUUAAGGCAGGCGUUGCUCGAAUACUACAGCAUGGAAUAAUAGAAUAGGACUUUGGUUUUAUUUUGUUGGUUUCUAGAACUGAGGUAAUGAUUAAUAGGGACAGUUGGGGGCAUUAGUAUUUCGUUGUCAGAGGUGAAAUUCUUGGAUUUACGAAAGACUAACUUCUGCGAAAGCAUUUGCCAAGGAUGUUUUCAUUAA